CAAGGACCCGGUGAAAUCCCGGGUGGCUAUUCCGGCCGCCGAUCCGCCGGACAACA
rfam:Sphingomonas paucimobilis NBRC 13935 DNA, contig: SP661.